AGAUGAGGCCGUGCUGGUCUGAGGGUUAUUAGGAUGCUGCGGUCAUGUUGUGUGUGGAUGAGUCCGUGCUGUUCUGAGGGCUAUGGAGCAGGGCACCUCUGGUUCUGUGGAAUCGCUGCCCUGAUACUCCAUGGGGAAUCCCAGAUCAAUGAACACAGACAGCCCCCUGCUUCUCAGGCUCUUCCAGGCCGCUGGCCUGGGAGGGUUCACUUCCUGAGGCUGCGUCUUCCACCAGUCGUCUGCUGCCAUUUGCUUCCUGAGGAUGGUGUUGAGUUUAGAGGCCUCGGCGUGGGGCUGGGACAGGAAGGGUGCUCAGGUCCUUUGCCUGUGCCCUGCGUUCUCCUGGGACAGCCUCUCACCGCCCUCUGGCUCUGCAGGUUUGGAUCGACGCGGCCACCCAGGUGUGCUUCUCCCUGGGCGUGGGGUUCGGGGUGCUGAUCGCCUUCUCCAGCUACAACAAGUUCACCAACAACUGCUACAGGGACGCGAUUGUCACCACCUCCAUCAACUCCCUGACGAGCUUCUCCUCCGGCUUUGUCGUCUUCUCCUUCCUGGG
rnacentral:sRNA from 1 species